GACGAACGCUGGCGGCGUGCCUAACACAUGCAAGUCGAACGGAGAUACGAUUUCGGUUGUAUCUUAGUGGCGAACGGGUGAGUAACGCGUGAGCAACCUGACCUUCAGAGGGGGAUAACACUUGGAAACAGGUGCUAAUACCGCAUAAGACCACGACCCGACAUCGGGAUGAGGUCAAAGGAGUAAUCCGCUGAGAGAGGGGCUCGCGUCCCAUUAGAUAGAUGGCGGGGUAACGGCCCACCAUGUCAACGAUGGGUAGCCGAGCUGAGAGGCUGAUCGGCCACACUGGAACUGAGACACGGUCCAGACUCCUACGGGAGGCAGCAGUGGGGAAUAUUGGGCAAUGGGCGCAAGCCUGACCCAGCAACGCCGCGUGAGGGAAGAAGGCUUUCGGGUUGUAAACCUCUGUCCUUGGUGACGAAACAAAUGACGGUAGCCAAGGAGGAAGCCCCGGCUAACUACGUGCCAGCCGCCGCCGUAA
rnacentral:rRNA from 1 species